AACAUUUGCUGGCAAAAAUGUAUUCAGUCGAAUUCAGGAUAGAUGAUACAGAACUGCUGGGGCUAAUUGCUGUUGAGAUGGACACGGUCUCUGCCAGAAGCUGGAACAUAAGGUCAUGCAACCAUUGAUACGGAAAGAAAAUGUUACUCAAACCAUUGAUUUAAUACCUGUAACACAACCUCGCAUAAAUUGAGAAUCAGUAUAGCACAACUUUCUAUUAUUCCAGGUUGAAUCUUUAUGUAUCCAAAAGAACCUAAUGUGGAUACAGAGUUUCCAGAGUUUGGUAAUGUAUUUUUUUGUCAGAACUGAGCUUGCAAGCAAAAUCUCUCAGGAAGAAAAGCAAAACGUAAAAAACUUUACAGCAAUUUUUACAUGACACCUGGCAGAAAGAAAAGAAAGAUGAAAAGAAAAAGUAAAUUUCACAACCAAGAUGGAAGCAUAACUACACAUCACAAAGUAACCAUAAGCUGCAUACCGCAGUUGCUCCCAGUGCUCACCGCAACAAUGCAGCAAAGAAAGAUCAGGCUUCUCCAAGUGUUUUUAUAUCUCAUAUUCAUCUAUCAGCAUAUAUAACUGAGGCACCCUUAUAAACACCGAAGCAAAUCCUUCAUAUUCCUGUGUUACUGUCAUUUGCCCACAAUGAUUGUGGUGCAGAGAGUCAAACCAAAACCAAGAUAAAUUAUUUUGCUUAGGCGGCGUGACUCCUAAUUUCCUACAUGAUUCAACCAUGAACAACUAUUCUGUACAUUUCAAACCACAUAAAUAGACCUGGGACUGAAUAAUUGUUCUCCCAAUCUUAAAUCCUGGAACUACUGUGUACCCCACCUUCAUCCGGCUUUUAGCUGGCAAGGUGCAUCUUCUAGUUACAUCUUCCAUAUAUACCACUGAAAAAUCAACCCCUCUUUCCACCUGGAAAAUCUCAACAACAGGAUCAAAUGAAAACGCCAGCUUAUGAAGCGUCCACACUGCACUAGCCAUGUUAACAAAUGACUCAUAGAAUAUACUAAGUGAUCUCCAUGAAUUCAAAACAACUUCAUUUUGAUCCAAAUUGCUGAAAAUCGAUGAUUCCAUUGUUGUAUGAACAAGCUCUUGAUACUUCUUUUCACAAAAUCUUGAAAAUUCACAGUUAUGAUUCCUAUGUAGCAACUCCACCGGACUGCUAGACACAUGCUCAAGCAACUGCUUCAACGAACUGUGGGUCUUAUCAGAAUCAGAAAUAUGCCCAUUAGAAAGGAUUUCAGUAUCACCCUCAUCCAAACCAAAACUCUUUAAGUCAAAACCUCGAAACAUACCCAAACAAAAAUAUGAGAGAAAAGCGUAGCGAUUAUGCCCUGUUUUUGCAUAUUCAAUAUCAGCAUGAACUGAAUUCGCAGCCAAAUCUAAGUCCCAUCCAGCUUUUCUCAUUAAAUCUAUCAAAAUCUUCGUGAAUUUAUGCGUAGCUCUACAAGCAUCAUUUAUCAAAGAAUCGAGAACCCUAACAGACAACAAAACAUCACAAGAAGAAGGCAAAUUCAAAUUACCAGAUAAUCUCUUUGCUAACUUGGAAUUAGACUUUUGUAUGUCGCCCAAUUUCUUCCUUAAAGCCGAAAAUUCGUUAUCCUUUCGAUCAAUCUCUGCUUGUAAAUGGUCCGAAACAAUCCCCAGAACUCUCAGCUUGCUUUGAUUUUCCUGUACUUGAGCUUCCAAGCACGACUCAAUAGGCAAAGUUGCCCCGAAGUCGGGAUUCCUACACAAAUCCACAUAGAACUGCUUGAAAUCAGACAUACUCUGAAGAUGCGCAACCAGAGCUUCAUCCGCCGCCUUUAUACUGUCUUCAUUGAAAGGCACGUGGGCAAUCUGUAGCUGCAGAUACGAAGCUUCAAAUGAAGAAACUGUCGCAAAUAUAGAAGAAAUCAAAGUCUGAGCGGACUGAGCGCUUAAAGGCGUGAUAUGGGUGUGGUCCGUGGAAUUAUUUAUCCUCGAUUGGUGUGAUAAUUGUUGAGGUAUCCUCGAAGGAGUUGAAGAGCUCACUGAAUUCUGAUAGAGGGGUUGAUCGGGCUUGAGGAUAAUAACUUUCUGAUCGGGAAUGAAAUCUUCGGCGGAGUCGAGGAGGGAAAGACCGUCGACGUCGGAGGGGUCAUCGGCGGCGGUGUCAUCGGCGAAGAAUUCGAAAGUUUUGGUCUUGAAAGCGAGGGCAAACUUCUGGAACAUUUCAGAGAUGGGUGGGGCUUUGGGCGUAGUUGAGGUGGCAUCCAUAACUUGUGUCAUGAAAAAUUGAGGGAAUUUGCUAUCCUUUGUUGUUUUGGGUGGUUAAGAAUGGGAUUGAAUUCCAACUUUUGAUCAGAGAGUAAAAGGAAAGGAAAGAAAGGGAAAGGAAUGAAAAGAAAGAAAUGUUGAGGUGAAGUGUUACUUUUUCUUCUGGGUUGUGCUUUGGAUGUCUUGGAAGGAAGGUACUUCCCUGUGCGUGGGUUUCGCCUUCCGGCGCUGCUGCUACUGCGCUUCUUUCUUUUCUUGUUAUUUUAUUUUUUUAUUUUUAACU
rnacentral:misc_RNA from 1 species